UUUAUCUUCAUCUCAUGUACAAAUGUACAUUUUCUAUAAUGUGUUUCAGGUAACAUACACAGCUGUCAAGACCUGAAGUACAAAGAAAAGAGGAACUUACAGAAAGAUGGAAGAAGAGUAUGCCAUGCAGAUGAAGCUGGGAAUUAAAGACCCAGAUAGAGGAAUAAGGCAAAAAGAGUAUGACUACUAGGAAGAGAAUGGAUUCAGGAAUCUUCUGUGUAGGUGGAAGCAGAGUGGCAGAGUGGCAGAGGAGAGAAGAGAGGCAGCAGAAGGACAUCAAAGAGAAGCAGCUUGACUUCAGAGGAACAGCUUGACAGCAGGACUUCGCAGAAGAGUUCCACAGGGGACGGCUGAACUCCAGGAGAAGACCACCUUCCCACUCCAUCCGCUUUCCAGCUCCCCAUCCUGCCAAGAGCCACUUCUACUGCUCAGUAAAAUCCUCCACAUUCACCACCCUUCAAUUCAUUCAUAUGACCUUAUUCUUCCUGGAUGCCAGACAAGUACUCGGGUACCAAGAGGGCGGGUGCAAAAGGCUGUCACCCUGACCCUCCACUGAUCUGUUAAACACUUAAGUUGUCUGUGGAUGGCAAAGCUAAAUGAGCACACUGUAACACAUGCCCUCUAGGACUCCGGAGGUCACAGGUUCCCCUCCCCUCCCCCCCACCCCCCAGGAAGCUUCCACUGGACUGCACAGGAUUCUACUCCUGCGGAUGCCCAGAAGCACUUGUCCCAGUCCCUGUACCCACUCACCUGCAUGCUCCCCGUCCCGUGAGGGGAUGAGAGCUGCGAGCUGAGUAAACAAGUCAAUCCCUUUGUGAGUCCCGCGAAGGGGUCAAGGGAACUAUCCCAUUUCUGAAGGAAGGGGCUGGAGGGGUGUUGUAAUAAAAAAUUCUAUUGGACAUAUUAAAUUUGAGAUGCUUACUAGACAUACAAAUGGAGAUUUCAAAAAGAUAGCUGAAUAUGAGUCUGAAACACAUCACUGCCUUCUAAAUUUUAUUUUAAUCAUAUGCAUAUCUGUUAACAACUAGUUUAUACUUCUGGUUGUAUUAGGGAAGAAAGAUGGUUUAAAUUUUCUUUAACUAUUAAGUAGAUCCUCCUCUUAAUUGUGACUGAGUCUUGAAAUGCAUACCAAAGGUCGUAGGCUCUCUGUACUUCCUCUUCUUUCUAAACUCCCGAUGGAUUUCUGAUAAGCAGAAUGCUCCCCCUAUUAAUUCCAUCUACUGCCUGGAAACUGUGGAUAUGUUUCAAUAUAUGCCUAACUGGACUCUGCGGAUGUAAUUAAGGCUACUAAUUAGUGACUAAAUAGAUUCCUCUGGAUUACUUAGGUGGGCCCGAUCUAAAAAAAUUUGCUCUUGAAAGCAGAGAACCUUGUCCAGCUAGGAGCAGAAGAGAGCCAUGGCAACAUGUCAUGAAAUUUCACGUGUGAGAAUGAUCAGCACACCAUUACUGGCUCUGAGAUAUUACAGCCUAUGUAGAAGCACCAGAGAGAGGGCUCUAAGAGCUAAGGGAGCCCCCUAGAUGACAGUCAACCAAGAAACAGAGACCCUAGUCCUAUAACCAUAAGGUACUGGAUUCUGCCAGAAGUAUGGAUCAGCUUGGAAGUAAAUUCUUCCCCAGAAACUCCAGAUAAGAGCCUGCCAGAAUUCUGACCUACAGAACAGUGAGAUAAUAAAUGGGUGUUAUUUUAAGCCACUAUUUAAGCCACUAUUUAGUUAUAGCAAUAAUAGAAAAUUAACACAAGACUUAAAUGUAAUAAGGUGAUGGGGAUGAGGAAAGUGGGAUUCUAUUUCCAGAGUACUAAAAUGUAUGAAAUAUGGACAUGUGAAACUCCUAGUCAUGGUUGAUGUGGGCACUGUCUCCCUUUAACACUUAGAGCCCUUCGUGUUGAUGAGAAAAUUUCAUUGAUCUACUAACGCCCUAGCCAAGACUAUAGCCAGGUAGUCCCAUAACUAAAUCUCCAGAUGGGCUUUCUAAAUACCUGAAAUGUGAAGAUGAAACUUCUUCCCUCAACCACCACUACCACCACAGAAAUGGUGCAGGGCAUGGGAUAGUCACUCCUUUCACUCACAUGAGAACCCUCAAGAGCACUGAUAGGGCAAACUGCGAACCUCAGGCAUUUGACUGCUAGUGUAGUUGCCUGACUCCACAGCAUAAAGAGGUGAAGGUAGGGGGCUAUAGGCUCAGACAGCAACAUUACAAAUGUCCAGUUUUAAAAAACACAUAUUUCCCCUUCACCCAUAAUUACUACGAUAGAAACCCAAUUUUCACCAUUCAGAUAAUAACCUGAAAACCUCACUCUUCAGAUAAUGUGUGUAAAAGCAUUCUGGAUAUGAAAGGCUGUAAAGUUAUACUAAUACAAAAUGUAAGAAACUUCAGGUAAACCAGUAGUCAAAAAUCAUGCAUAGAAGUUCCAUUUAUGUAAGACGACUUUCUCCUAGCUAAUUCCUACUUGUUAAUCAAAGUGUAGUUCAAUGUUAUUUCUUCUCUUCUAGUUCCUAAAAUAUAUUAACACCCACGUUACUGUACUGACCACAUUGUAGUAAUUGCAUGUUUAUACUUCUUUUUGUGAGUUUCUCAUAUCAUUUCUUACCAGAAUCUAACACACUGAUGAUCACACAGUAUACACUCAAUAAAUGUUUUUAAAUUGAUUAAUUUCUUCAAGAUACCAUAGCUUUUUUAUGAGAUAGCUUUAGGUAUCUAAAAGAUGAGUCACAGACAGAAAUAAAGGCCCUUUAUUAGGCCCCAAUAUAUCACAUAUAUUUCUACACUACUUUAGGGAGCUAUGCAUUUCCAGUCUUCAAUUUCUCUCUUUUAAUUUAAUAUUAUUGAGUGUAAAAAUGUUAAGAAAAUACAAAGCUUACUGCCUAGAAUAUUUUGGAAUCCAUUUAUAUUAGACUAUGUAACAUAUUCUAAAUGUUGUAAGAUUGACUAUAACAAUGCUAACUUAUUAUAUGUCAGAUAUCAUUCUAAGUGUUUCACAUGAAGUAAAUAAAGCAUUUAUUCCUCAC
rnacentral:lncRNA from 10 species